CCCUUAGAUGUUCUGGGCCGCACGCGCGCUACACUGAUGCAUUCAACGAGUUAUUCUUUGACCUUGGUCGAAAGAUCUGGGUAAUCUUUUGAAAUUGCAUCGUGAUGGGGCUUGCGGGUUGCAAUUACCCGCACCAACGAGGAAUUCCUAGUAAACGCAAGUCAUCAGCUUGCAUUGAUUACGUCCCUGCCCUUUGUACACACCGCCCGUCGCUCCUACCGAUUGAAUGUUCCGGUGAACACUUUGGAAUAGUGCCUUUGUAUGGGGAAACUUGUACUUGGAUACUGUAAAGUUGUGUAAACCUUAACAUUUAGAGGAAGGAGAAGUCGUAACA
rnacentral:rRNA from 1 species